CGGGCUGUGGCGCAGUUGGUAGCGCACCGGGCUGGGGGUCCGGUGGUCGUGAGUUCGAGUCUCACCAGCCCGACCA
rnacentral:tRNA from 1 species